rnacentral:rRNA from 1 species
UACGAAGGGGGCUAGCGUUGUUCGGAUUUACUGGGCGUAAAGCGCACGUAGGCGGAUCUUUAAGUCAGAGGUGAAAUCCCAAGGCUCAACCUUGGAACUGCCUUUGAUACUGGUGGAUCUCGAGUCCGGGAGAGGUGAGUGGAACUGCGAGUGUAGAGGUGAAAUUCGUAGAUAUUCGCAAGAACACCAGUGGCGAAGGCGGCUCACUGGCCCGGAACUGACGCUGAGGUGCGAAAGCGUGGGGAGCAAACAGG